CAUGCAGUCGAACGGUGAUAGCAAUAUCAUAGUGGCGCACGGGUGCGUAACACGUAUGCAACCUACCUAUUAUUGGGGGAUAGCCUUUGGAAACGGAGAUUAAUACCGCAUAAUACGAUUGACUGGCAUCGGUUGAUUGUUAAAGCUUUGGCGAUAAUAGAUGGGCAUGCGUCCAAUUAGUUAGUUGGUUAGGUAACGGCUGACCAAGACGAUGAUUGGUAGGGGAUCUGAGAGGAUAAUCCCCCACACUGGCACUGAGAUACGGGCCAGACUCCUACGGGAGGCAGCAGUAGGGAAUAUUGGGCAAUGGGCGGAAGCCUGACCCAGCCAUGCCGCGUGCAGGAAGAAGGCGUUAUGCGUUGUAAACUGCUUUUUUAUAGGAAGAAGGAUCCCUUGCGAGGGAAGGUGACGGUACUAUAAGAAUAAGCACCGGCUAACUCCGUGCCAGCAGCCGCGGUAAUACGGAGGGUGCAAGCGUUGUCCGGAUUUAUUGGGUUUAAAGGGUGCGUAGGCGGUUUAUUAAGUCAGUGGUGAAAGACGGUCGCUCAACGAUUGCAGUGCCAUUGGUACUGGUAGACUUGAGUGAGAUUGAGGUAGCUGGAAUGGAUAGUGUAGCGGUGAAAUGCAUAGAUAUUAUCCAGAACACCGAUUGCGAAGGCAGGUUACUAAGUCUUAACUGACGCUGAGGCACGAAAGUGUGGGGAUCAAACAGGAUUAG
rnacentral:rRNA from 1 species